rnacentral:rRNA from 1 species
GACGAACGCUGGCGGCGUGCUUAACACAUGCAAGUCGAACGGUGAACCCGCUUCGGUGGGGGAUCAGUGGCGAACGGGUGAGUAACACGUGGGCAACCUGCCCCCGGCUCUGGGAUAGCCCCAAGAAAUUGGGGCUAAUACCGGAUAUGACCGCUGACCGCAUGGUCUGGUGGUGGAAAGAUUUAUCGGCUGGGGAUGGGCCCGCGGCCUAUCGGCUUGUUGGUGGGGUAGUGGCCUACCAAGGCGACGACGGGUAGCCGGCCUGAGAGGGUGACCGGCCACACUGGGACUGAGACACGGCCCAGACUCCUACGGGAGGCAGCAGUGGGGAAUAUUGCGCAAUGGGCGGAAGCCUGACGCAGCGACGCCGCGUGGGGGAUGACGGCCUUCGGGUUGUAAACCUCUUUCAGCAGGGACGAAGCCGUGAGGUGACGGUACCUGCAGAAGAAGCACCGGCCAACUACGUGCCAGCCGCCGCCGUAAUAC